ACUCAGUAGAUUUCACAUAUUUCAAAAGGUGUCACAUGAAAUGGUUUUCUAUCUUAAAAUACCUUGAUAACAAAAGUAUUAGUUUUGAAAUGUUUAUUAAAAUGACAUCAAGUCAUUCUUAAUUAUUGUUCAAAACUCCUAGAUAUCUUGCAAAACCAUUAUUUUUACCUUCUUGAACAAAACUACACUUAUACGCAUAUGUUCUUAUAUAUGUAUUGAUGUUAUAGUUUCCAUCCUUCGUUCAGUUUCCCACACCCUGGUGUAUCGAGGGUGCAUAAAUCUACUUGAACAACCAAUUACUUUCUAGUUAAUUAUCAUAGGGAUAGUUAGAAGAAACAAACAUUUAUACCUAUUACAAAAAAUCACACAAGAGUCAGUUCAUUCAUGAGUCUAUACCAAUACCUUACAUGAUACAUGAAGUACACUUACUUUGGAUUACAUGAUACAUGAAUAUGUUUAGAUAUACUUACCUGUUACAUGAACACACUUACAUGAAUACCAUACAGGAACACUGUUACUUAGGUGCAUUAUCCUGUAUUUACUUACCUAGAUACUUGUACUUAGAACUACGAGGAUGAUUUAUUAGUACUUACUGUGUAAAUUAUCUUUCCUAUCUCGGUUCAAUGGGAUAAUUCGGCAGGACAUACCAUUCCGAACCCCACUGAUUAGCACUAGUGGUCGAUGAAUGUCUAUGGAUGUUUAAGGCUGUUACUUAUUUAGCAGUCAGUAACGGGACUAACCUUCCCUCUGUCCAACUGUUGCAACAGUGGAUGAGAUGUGAAUCUUCGGAGGAUCAUUAGGUUAACGAUCGGAAUUAGGAGAUCGAUAUCGGGACUAACCCUCCCUCCACCCUGUUGCCGCUACAGAGGAUGAGGGGACACUCUUCGGAUGUCCAUAGGGUCUAUGUUUCGCUUCGGCGAUGUCGUGUUUGUCCUGGUAACCCAAGAUAAUAACACUGACACAAUUAGAUUUUUCCUGUUUACUUUAUUUUGUGAUACUUUCACAUAAACGAGGAGUUAGACUAAGUACUCUAGUACUAGUCGAUAGAAAGGAAAAGUUAUCAUAUUACUUACAAAACAUUCGGGUCUUGGUAUAUGACGACAUAGUCAUAACAAAACAUUCGGGUCUUGGUAGAAGAUUACAUAGUCAUAACAAAACAUUCGGGUCUUGGUAGAAGACUACAUUUCAUACUUACAGAAAAUAAGGGAUUUUCUAGGGUUUUUCAUACUUACAUCAACAUUUUCAUUUAAAGGUUUACAUGGCCUUCAUAAUAGAUUUUCAUAAGCAAGGCAAUGACACUUAGUUACUUACGAAUUCACCAGCUUUAAAGCUGAUACUCUCUUUCAAAGUAACUUGUAUUCUCAGGUCAUCAGUAGACAGGUACGGUGGCCUGGUUUUGAGAAGAUGGAGCAGACAAGUCUCGUCUUUUAUUUUGAUUGUAUAUUUUUGGUGUCUUAUUACAACAAAAGAACACACAUGUAUUAAAACUUUACUUAUAAUGCAAUGGAUGAUGUUGUUGCUUGUUUAUUAUAUUACAUUGUUGUGAUACUGUACAUGACGUCCUCCACCCCUAAACGUUUCCGCCGUUUGUGGUUUUGGGGUGUGAUAGAUUGGUAUUAGAGCAUUGCUUAUAGUGAAUAAAGUAUAUCAACCCAUAAAAGAUAUACUAACUAUAAAUACAUCGGGAUUAAAACACUUUGUCUAAGAGUUAUACUUUUAAAUAAUUUAUUCUUGUCCAUGUCGUCAUCUUUUAAACGUAUAGUUAAAGCUGCCGCCACGUAGACGUACAAGAUGUAACCCAAACAACGAAGCACCGAUACCACCUCCACCACCACUUGAACCUCUUCAACCACCAAAUCCUUUUGAUGCCAACAUGUUCCAGGCAGCUUUCACAGCAGCAGUUGCAGCUGUUGUGUCAGCAAUCAACGCUGCUGCCCCUAGUAGAUCAGGAACAUGUGCACCUCCCUCGAACCACGGCGAAAGCCAUGGACACCCUCGGGAAUGCACCUACUAGGACUUCAUGAACGCCAAACCCCGCAGCUUCAAUGGAACUGGGGGUGUUAUGGUGUUAAGACAAUGGAUUGAAAAGAUGGAAUCCUUCUUUGAAAUCUGUGCUUGCCAGGAAGGCAACAAGGUCAAGUUUGCAGCUUGUACCUUCUCUGACAGAGCACUAACAUGGUGGAACAACCAUGUUAACUAUUUGACUUUGGUGGUGGUGUAUUCCAUCAGCUGGGAAAAGUUAAAGGACAUGCUGAUGAAAGAGUACUGUCCUCGAGGCGAAGUACAAAAACUCGAGCAGGAAUUCUGGGGUCUACAAAUGGUUAGAUCCGACAUCACGACCUACACAAAUAGGUUAUGUGAUCUGGCAAACUUAUGCCCUGACAUGGUUGCUCUCCAGAGCAAAAAGAUAGAGAGAUAUAUCUGGGGACUGUCGCCUCAGAUCCAGUCAAGUGUGAUAGCUUCCAGGCCUAUUACUUUCGAUAGCGCCAAAGAGCUAGCACAAUCUCUGAUAGACCACAGGAAACCUCAAAACCCAUCAAUCCCUAUACCAGUACCAUAAAAGUCCAACCCCAACCAUAACAGGAAGGGGUGGAAUAAGAGGAAAAGAGGGGCUUCGCAAGGAUCCUCCAAGAAACAACAACUUGUGGCGAUCAAUGCAGCCAUAGUUACUCCCAUUGCCCCUGCGAACCCCUUACUAGCAAAAACAUAUGCUGGAACUCUCCCGAAGUGCACCAAGUGCAAAUUCCACCACCACAGACCUUGCAAGGAGAUGCAGUGCUCUAACUGCAACAGGAAGGGACACACAGUCUGUUUCUGCAAUACUCCAACUGCUCAGGCCGCCCAGGUUCCUAACGCCGGUAUGGGCCAAACUUGAUACGGUUGUGGCGAGGUGGGCCACUACAAGAGGAACUGCCCUAAAACANNNNNNNNNNNNNNNNNNNNNNNNNGGCCACGAGGAAGCGGUAGUUGAUCCUACGAUAGUUACUCGUACGUUUCUCCUCGAUAACUCAUAUGCUUGCAUACUUUUCGAUAGUGGCGCAGAGAGAAGUUUUGUAAGUCACAAAUUUGCACACCUGCUUAAACAAAAACCAUGUGCAUUAGAUAGUUCAUUCACGGUAGAAAUGGAUAAUGGGAAAACAGAGAGUACAAACUGCAUAUACGUAGGUUGUACCUUAACUUAAAUGGCCAUACUUUCAAGAUAGAUCUCAUGCCAGUUCCUAUUAAAUGUUUCGACGUUAUCAUCGGUAUGGAUUGGUUGAGUCUUCUUCGCGCCGACAUCAUGUGCUUUGAAAAAGCAGUCCGUCUUAACCUUCCUAACAACGAAACUUUAGUUAUCUAUGGCGACAAACCUAGUACGAGCCUUCGCAUCAUUUCGUGCAUUCAAGCCCAAAAGUGUUUGCGAAAGGAGUACCAUGCAUUCGUCGCACAUGUCAUUGAUACAAGUCAAAAAACAAAAAACAUUCAGAACAUCCCUGAAGUACGCGACUUCCCCGACAUAUUCCCAAAAGAACUUCCUGGUUUACCACCGCAACGCCAAGUCGAGUUCAGAAUCGACUUAGUGCCAGGGGCUACCCCCGUAGCCAAAUCUCCUUAUCGUCUGGCACCGGCUGAAAUGCAGGAACUUUCCAGUCAACUUAACGAACUUCUCAAGAAGGGAUUCAUUCGACCAAGCUUCUCACCAUGGGGAGCACCGGUCUUGUUCGUCAAGAAGAAAGAUGGAUCGUUUCGCAUGUGCAUCGACUAUAGAGAACUCAACAAACUUACCAUUAAAAAUCGUUAUCCUUUACCCCGCAUUGACGAUUUAUUUGAUCAACUUCAAGGAGCCAACUACUUCUCGAAGAUAGAUCUACGAUCCGGAUAUCACCAACUACGAGUGUUAGAGGAGGAUGUUCCCAAGACAGCCUUCUGAACUCGUUAUGGGCACUACGAGUUUGUAGUAAUGCCGUUCGGAUUAACUAACGCGCCCGCAGUAUUCAUGGAUCUGAUGAAUAGGAUGUGUCGUCCUUACUUGGAUCAGUUCGUCAUCGUCUUCAUUGAUGACAUACUCAUCUACUCUCGAAGUAAGGAGGAACAUAGCCAACAUCUCCGUAAAAUCUUAGAAACAUUGCGAUUGGAGAAGCUUUACGCGAAGUUCUCCAAGUGCGAAUUUUGGAUUCGGUGAGUCGAAUUUUUGGGCCAUGUUGUUAGCGAAGAAGGUAUACACGUGGACCCUUCCAAAAUUAAGGCCAUCAAGAACUGGUCAGCACCAAAGACACCUACUGAAAUUCGUCAAUUUCUAGGUCUAGCUGGCUACUAUCGCCUGUUCAUUCAGAACUUGUCCCGCAUAGCAAAACCUCUUACAACACUUACCCAGAAGGGCGUGGCCUUUGACUGGGAAGAGACACAAGAAAGAGCAUUCCAAAUGCUCAAGCGAGCCCUGUGUACCGCACCAAUACUGUCCCUCCCCGAAGGGAUUGAAGACUUCAUGGUCUAUUGCGAUGCAUCAAACCAAGGGCUCGGAUGUGUUCUGAUGCAGCGAGGUAAAGUCAUAGCCUAUGCCUCGAGACAACUAAAUACACAUGAGGUUAACUACAUAACCCACGAUCUGGAACUAGGAGCAGUUGUGUUUGCUCUGAAGAUCUGGCGACAUUACCUGUACGGUAGAAAAAGCACGAUCUUUACAGACCAUAACAGUCUGCAACACAUUUUCGACCAAAAGGAGCUCAACAUGAGACAACAACGGUGGGUCGACCUACUCAGUGAUUACGAGUGCGAUAUUCGUUAUCAUCCCGGUAAAGCCAAUGUAGUAGCCGACGCCCUAAGUCGGAAAGAGUAUUCUAGUCGUAGGGUCAAGUCUUAGACUCUAACCAUCCAUUCACACUUGUCCACGCAAAUAAAGAAGGCUCUACUCGACACUUUGAAACCUGAAAACGUGGCUGGUGAAUCCCUUAGAGGGAUGGAUAAGAACUUGGAAGUCAAGGGUGGCGGAGCCUUGUACCUCAUGGAUCGGAUCUGGGCACCGAAACACAGUGGCUUCAGAGAGUUGGUCAUGAUGGAAGCUCACAACACUCGUUAUUCCAUCCACCCGGGUUCAGAUAAGAUGUAUCUAGAUCUUAAAAAGUUAUAUUGGUGGCCUAACAUGAAAGCAGAUAUUGUUACCUUCGUGAGUAAAUGCCUUACUUGUGCAAAGGUCAAGGUCAAAUACCAGAAACCCUCCGGUCUCCUACUGCAACCGGAGAUACCAGAAUGGAAGUGGGAGCGGAUCACUAUGGACUUCAUAACCAAGUUGCCCAAGACGACGGGUGGACUUGAUUCCAUAUGGGUCAUCGUCGAUAGACUGACCAAGUCUGCACACUUCCUACCGAUCAAAGAAACAGACAAGAUGGAGAUAGUUACCAUAACUUACAUUAGGGAGAUUGUAAGGCCUCACGGUGUUCCUCUAUCUAUCAUCUCGGACCGAGAUAGUAGAUUCACUUCGAGGUUCUGACAGUCAUUACAAAGUUCCCUAGGAACUAGGCUGGACAUGAGUACAGCCUACCAUCCACAGACCGACGGACAAAGUGAGAGAACUAUCCAAACCUUGGAAGACAUGUUGCGUGCUUGCGUGAUUGACUUUGGAAAAGCUUAGGAUACCCAUUUACCCCUUGUUGAAUUUUCCUACAACAACAGUUAUCAUACGAGCAUAAAGGCAGCUCCAUUCGAGGCCCUCUAUGGCCGAAAGUGCAGAUCCCCUCUGUGCUGGGCUGAAGUGGGUGAUACCCAGUUAGCUAAGGGACGAGUUCCCGAAAGCACUCUCACGGGUCCGGAGAUCAUUCGGGAAACGACAGAGAAGAUCGUUCAAAUUCGUGAACGAUUAAAAGCCUCUAGAGACCGACAGAAAAGCUACGCUGACAAGCGUAGGAAACCAUUGGAGUUCCAGGUGGGCGACCGAGUCCUACUGAAGGUCUCACCCUGGAAGGGCUUGAUACGCUUUGGAAAGCGUGGGAAGCUCAAUCCAAGAUACAUAGGGCCUUUCGAGAUUCUCGCAAGAAUCGGCCCUGUGGCUUACAAGCUCAAUCUACCGAAAGAACUCAGUAACGUACAUCCUACCUUCCACGUGUCAAACUUGAAAAAGUUUCUAUCCGACGAGACUCUUGUUAUUCCACUCGACGAGAUCGAGAUCAACGAGAGCCUCAACUUCGUGGAGGAACCAGUAGAGAUCAUGGACCGAGAGGUCAAGCAAACAAAGCAGAGCCGUAUCCCGAUAAUGAAGGUGCGCUGGAAAGCAAAGUGUGGAUCGGAAUUCACUUGGGAACGUGAGGAUCAGAUGAAACUGAAAUACCCUCACCUUUUCGCUUAGUUAUUUGUAACUUCCUAAUUGCUUAAAUUCUAAUUUCGGGACGAUAUUCCUUCUAACGGGGGGAUGAUGUGACAACCUGAAAUUUCCAUUAUGUACAAACUUUAUCACUUCAAUAGAAGUUAUAGCAUUCACAGUUAAUUUUCAGACUUUUUAGUGUAAGUUUGAGUAAUUCAGGGUUUACACUUCAGGAAAUAUCAGGAGAGUGGGUGCACUAGGGUUUUGUGCAACACUGUUAUUCCAACACUCUAUUAUAUUAGAGAUCAUUUCGGGAAUAAAAAUAUUUUCUGCCAAAAAUAUCUCAGGACUAUAAAUAGAAUUCUGAACCAAAUUCAUUCAUUAUUCGCAUUUCCAACUAGAGAAAAGCCAUUUUCUCUCUCACGGAUCUUCGGGUUUUUAUACCAAAACGUGAGUAACUCUUUCUAGUAGUGUUAGAAAGCUUUAUAUGUGUUUAUAACAUGAUUUAGAAGGCUAAAUCACUAGAUUUAGGAGUUUACUCCCCAAGGUGUUCUUGGGCGGUAAACUCCCGAAAUGAAGCCUAGACUGUCCCCCGUGAUAUACAACUUCCUUGGACUUGUAUAGGAGUGUGUUAGGGACAUGAAAUCAAGCAAGAACCACCCAAGUUUGGGAGUUCACGGCCCAAGAGUUUCUUAGGCCGUAAACUCCAAAUUCAAGCUCCAAAUGGUGCUUUUAAGGCACCUAAAGCCUUGGGCUUUUACCUAGACUUGUUCCCAAUAAAUCAAGGGCCUUAAACACAUAAGACUCACCUUCAAAAGUGAGUUUAUGGCCAUGACAUGGUACAUGGGCCGUAAACUCAUUAAAGGGGCACCAGAGUGUGCCUAAUGCCUUCAUAUGCUUUAGGUAAAAGUCUAGAACCUAUCCUUUAUAUGCAAGAGACUCAAAAACAAGAACAACACCAUUCCAAGGGAGUUUACGGCCGUAAACUCCAAAGGAAAUGGCCUUGGGGUCGUAAACUCCUCUAGGGAGUGUUUCUAGACCUUAACACCUUCCAAGAAUUUAACCACCAAGUUGGAAUAAUUCUAGGAAUCAUUUGGAACUUCAAAACACACAAUACACCCAUGGUUGGGAGUUUACGGCCGUAAACUCAAGAGUUUACAACCGUAAACUCCAUGUGUGUUGGUAUAUGAGGAGUAAACUCAUAUAUGGGGUCCUUUGGAACCCUAAACACAAGUGCCUUGUCCCACAAUAGCUUAGAUGCAAUCCUUAGGACUUAAAACACUUAUAUAAAGUGUUUAUUAUGUCUAGGAUGUCUUAACUUUAUCAAUUAGUAAUUUGAGACUAAUUGAGUGCAUAUAUGUGUGAUUAUAUGUUCAUUAGGAUCGUAGUGUGUGUACAAGUCCUCACUUGACACCUAGCAAUCCUACACCGUCCAGUUCAUCCGAACCACCAACUACAGGUGAGUUCAUACCCCUUAAUCAAUGUUUUAAAUGAUUUUAAAUGCUUUAAUGGGGGGAUACAAGUAGAAAACAGUAUGUUAUUAAAUCAAUCUUAUGUAUUUUAUAAUUGUGUUUUCACUCAGCAGAUUUUACAUAUUUCAAAAGGUGUCACAUGAAAUGGUUUUCUAUCGUAUAAUUCCUUGAUAACAAAAGUAUUAGUUUUGAAAUGUUUAUUAAAAUGACAUCAAGUCAUUCUUAAUUAUUGUUCAAAACUCCUAGAUAUCUUUCAAAACCAUUAUUUUUACCUUCUUGAACGAAACUACACUUAUACGCAUAUGUUCUUAUAUAUGUAUUGAUGUUAUAGUUUCCAUCCUUCGUUCAGUUUCCCACACCCUGGUGUAUCGAGGGUGCAUAAAUCUACUUGAACAACCAAUUACUUUCCAGUUAAUUAUCAUAGGGAUAGUUAGAAGAAACAAACAUUUAUUCCUAUUACAAAGAAUCACACAAGAGUUAGUUCAUUCAUGAGUCUAUACCAAUACCUUACAUGAUACAUGAUGUACACUUACUUAGGAUUACAUGAUACAUGAAUAUGUUUAGAUAUACUUACCUGUUACAUGAACACACUUACAUGAAUACCAUACAGGAACAUUGUUACUUAGGUGCAUUAUCCUGUAUUUACUUACCUGGAUACUUGUACUUAG
rnacentral:lncRNA from 1 species